rnacentral:sRNA from 1 species
UGAUUGAAAGAAAGACUACCUAACAAUA